rnacentral:rRNA from 1 species
GAUGAACGCUGGCGGCGUGCCUAACACAUGCAAGUCGAGCGGACCAAUGCCCAUUUCAGCUUUGCUGAUUUGAGCAACGGUUAGCGGCGGACGGGUGAGUAACGCGUGGGCAACCUGCCCUGUGCAGGGGGAUAACACAGCGAAAGCUGUGCUAAUACCCCAUAAGACUACGCUAUCGCAUGAUAGAGUAGUCAAAGCUUUAGCGGCACAGGAUGGGCCCGCGUCUGAUUAGCUAGUUGGUGGGGUAACGGCCUACCAAGGCGACGAUCAGUAGCCGACCUGAGAGGGUGAUCGGCCACACUGGAACUGAGACACGGUCCAGACUCCUACGGGAGGCAGCAGUGGGGAAUAUUGCACAAUGGGGGAAACCCUGAUGCAGCAACGCCGCGUGAGCGAAGAAGGCCUUCGGGUCGUAAAGCUCUGUCCUAAGGGAAGAAGUAUGACGGUACCUUAGGAGGAAGCCCCGGCUAACUACGUGCCAGCAGCCGCGGUAAUACGUAGGGGGCGAGCGUUAUCCGGAAUCACUGGGCGUAAAGGGUGCGUAGGCGGCCGAGUAAGCCAGAGGUGAAAGGCUACGGCUUAACCGUAGUAAGCCUUUGGAACUACUUGGCUUGAGUGCAGGAGAGGAGAGUGGAAUUCCUAGUGUAGCGGUGAAAUGCGUAGAUAUUAGGAGGAACACCAGUGGCGAAGGCGACUCUCUGGACUGUAACUGACGCUGAGGCACGAAAGCGUGGGGAGCAAACAGGAUUAGAUACCCUGGUAGUCCACGCCGUAAACGAUGAGUGCUAGGUGUCGGGGGUUCACACCCUCGGUGCCGGAGUUAACGCAAUAAGCACUCCGCCUGGGGAGU